rnacentral:rRNA from 1 species
UACGUAGGGUGCAAGCGUUAAUCGGAAUUACUGGGCGUAAAGCGUGCGCAGGCGGUCCGUUAAGACAGAUGUGAAAUCCCCGGGCUAACCUGGGAACUGCAUUGUGACUGGCGGACUCGAGUAUGGCAGAGGGGGGUAGAAUUCCACGUGUAGCAGUGAAAUGCGUAGAGAUGUGGAGGAAUACCGAUGGCGAAGGCAAGCCCCCUGGGCCCAAUACUGACGG